AUUGAACGCUGGCGGCAGGCCUAACACAUGCAAGUCGAACGGCAGCACGGAAAUAGCUCUUGCGUACAGUGGCGGACGGGUGAGUAAUGCAUCGGAACGUGCCAAGUAGUGGGGGAUAGCGUGGUGAAAGGGGGAAUAAUACCGCAUAAGCCCUGAGGGUGAACGGGGGGGAGCGGCGGACCUCGCGCUAUUGGAGGAGCCGAUGUCGGAUUAGCUAGUUGGUGGGGUAAAGGCCUACCAAGGCGACGAUCCGUAGCUGGUCUGAGAGGAUGACCAGCCACACUGGAACUGAGACACGGUCCAGACUCCUACGGGAGGCAGCAGUGGGGAAUAUUGGACAAUGGGCGCAAGCCUGAUCCAGCCAUGCCGCGUGUGUGAAGAAGGCCUUCGGGUUGUAAAGCGCUUUUGUUCGGGAAGAAAAGCAGUAGGUUAAUACCCCGCUGUUCUGACGGUACCCAAAGAAUAAGCACCGGCUAACUUCGUG
rnacentral:rRNA from 1 species